rnacentral:rRNA from 1 species
UACGGAGGGGGCUAGCGUUGUUCGGAAUGACUGGGCGUAAAGCGCGCGUAGGCGGAUCAGAAAGUUGGGGGUGAAAUCCCAGGGCUCAACCUCGGAAUGGCCUUCAAAACUCCUGGUCUUGAGUUCGAGAGAGGUGAGUGGAAUUCCGAGUGUAGAGGUGAAAUUCGUAGAUAUUCGGAGGAACACCAGUGGCGAAGGCGGCUCACUGGCUCGACACUGACGCUGAGGUGCGAAAGCGUGGGGAGCAAACAGG